rnacentral:rRNA from 1 species
UACGUAGGGGGCUAGCGUUGUCCGGAAUCAUUGGGCGUAAAGCGCGUGUAGGCGGCCCGGUAAGUCCGCUGUGAAAACUCGAGGCUCAACCUCGAGACGACGAUGGAAACCAUCUGGCUAGAGUCCGGAAGAGGAGAGUGGAAUUCCUGGUGUAGCGGUGAAAUGCGCAGAUAUCAGGAAGAACACCCGUGGCGAAGGCGGCUCUCUGGUACGUGACUGACGCUGAGACGCGAAAGCGUGGGGAGCAAACAGG